UCUAGGAAAUCCUAGGGCGUGGUCUUGGGACGCCACCGCCGCCAUCACUGGGGUUCCCAGCCGCCACCGCCACCGCCUUCGCUGGGGUUCCCAGCCGCCGCCGCCCAAUCUCCGAAACCGCCGCAGCCGGCGCCAUCGCAACCCCAGGUCAGUGUAGUACUCAGAGGAGGUCGUGGUCCCCCCAAUCCAUCUCAAUACCACCGCCCGCCCAGGACGACAUGCAACGACCGGCAUUGGCGCGUCCUCGUGGGUGGCGGUGAGGAGGACGGCCAGUGGCAGCCCCCCGAAGCACCACCACGAUAGCACCUUGCCGCGGCCGCUCGGCAUGGGUUGCCGCCCCGCGUCCUAGAGAUGGGGAAUCUUGUAGCUGGAGAUGUAUACAUGGUUGACUCAAUCCUAAUUGUUGGAAACAAUAUCACAGAUCAAAGCUUUAUCGAGUCUCAUAAAAUGUGUGAGAAGUGUGAGAAUAGAGUUCUCAGGAAGGAGGCAUCAUGGGCAUUGUGAAACGUAGCAGCAGGCAACUUUGGGCACAGGAAAUAUUGCAGGUUAUGAGGGUGUACCCCAAACAGGGCCCAAAGCAUGUGGAGAGGAAGGAUGCCCACGGGCAUUUGUUGGCGCGAGCUGAUGCGAUCUCGCUGUGGCAAUUGGGGAUGGGUAGAUGGGGAGGCAUGGUGGAGGCCGGUGGGAGCAUCUAGCAAGAAAAGAAUGAGCGAGGCGGCGGCAGUGUACAGUGGCAUGGCCGUUGUGUGGCAGCUGUCGCAUAGACGUCGAAGGAGCACCAGCGAUGUGCACGCACACACAGACACACACUGAUGGUGCUGCUGGAGGCCAUGGGGCUGAGCAAGGAUGUGAGCGGUACACGGCACUGGUAGCAUUAUACUAUCAAGAACACCGGCAUGGCAUUGACUCUUGUUACCUAUAAUGCACGUGACACGCCAUGGUCGUCUUCCACCACACUGCGGCCUCCACACGACGCCUCCAACCCUCCAAAGCGUGUCACCUCAAUGGUCGCCGUCGCCUCAUGCUCCAGCUCUCCCAGCCACCGCCACAGGUCACCGCCUCCGUCCCUCCAAAGAACAGCGCCUCUCUUGUUGCAACCUCCUUGCCACGGCGACCAACGACGGGGAGGAGGAGGAGCUGGGCGAGGCAGGGAGGCCAAGGGCGAAGUGUUGUCACCACAUCCACUUCCUAGGGCCGCAGGGGGCAAUGGUGAGGAGGUGAGCGACAACGGGAGGCUAAGGUGAAACUGAUGAGAAGUAGUGUAGCUUCCUCAAUUAUGUGUAUGGAGAAGGGAAAAGUGUGGGUAGCUUUGAGGCAAGUCGUGGUUGGUUCAAAGUUUCACAUAUGCUCUCUAAUGGUAGAUCAUGAACUGUUAGACAAUACUCAGCUAGAUGUAGGUAUGGAUCGAGCUCUGAAUGUGAUGCGUAAUUAUUAGUCCAUGUUUUUGUGAGUCAGACCAGACGAAAUCACACUGUAAAUGUGGGUGAAGAUCAAACAAG